UGUCUCAGUUCGGAUUGGAGUCUGCAACUCGACUCCAUGAAGCUGGAUUCGCUAGUAAUCGCGCAUCAGCCAUGGCGCGGUGAAUACGUUCCCGGGCCUUGUACACACCGCCCGUCAAGCCAUGGGAGCCGGGGGUGCCUGAAGUACGUGACCGCGAGGAGCGUCCUAGGGCAAAACUGGUGACUGGGGCUAAGUCGUAACAAGGUAAC
rnacentral:rRNA from 1 species